rnacentral:rRNA from 1 species
GACGAACGCUGGCGGCGUGCUUAACACAUGCAAGUCGAACGGAAAGGCCCUGCUUUUGUGGGGUGCUCGAGUGGCGAACGGGUGAGUAACACGUGAGUAACCUGCCCUUGACUUUGGGAUAACUUCAGGAAACUGGGGCUAAUACCGGAUAGGAGCUCCUGCUGCAUGGUGGGGGUUGGAAAGUUUCGGCGGUUGGGGAUGGACUCGCGGCUUAUCCGCUGGUUGGUGGGGUAGUGGCUUACCAAGGCUUUGGCGGGUAGCCGGCCUGAGAGGGUAACCGGCCACAUUGGGACUGAGAUACGGCCCAGACUCCUACGGGAGGCAGCAGUGGGGAAUAUUGCACAAUGGGCGGAAGCCUGAUGCAGCAACGCCGCGUGCGGGAUGACGGCCUUCGGGUUGUAAACCGCUUUCGCCUGUGACGAAGCGUGAGUGACGGUAAUGGGUAAAGAAGCACCGGCUAACUACGUG